rnacentral:lncRNA from 1 species
GCUAGCACAGGGCACUGGUGUCCACCUUGUGCCUCCAAUGAUUAUAAAAUAAUUUGAUUUUGAGGCUGAAAUCUGCAAGGAAAUUUUUCCCACGUCCCAGGAUCAGGAAGUUAGCAGAAGCUGGAGAUGGAAACUGAGAGACAGAAGCCAACAGAAAUGCAGCACAGGGAAGCACCCGAUGGGCACAGUGAGUAUCAGGUGCACCAGGACAGGGAGCAGGUCCCCAGCAGUUUCCACUCAGCCACCAAGAAUCAGUCAGUGACCAUGUCCCUGGGGGUUACCUGAAUAAAUACCAAGUGCUAUCUAUAAAGGAUGAAAAAGAUUUAGCCAACAAGAAUGGCAUGUUCUCUCUCCUGGCCCUGGGCAUGGCCCUGGAGCACAUGGACCCAGCUGACAUGAGUCAGGCAGAGGGAGACCAUCACCACACCAUCCCUCAUGUGGGGAAGCUGCUGCAUCAGGUAGUGGAAAGGGAGAGGACAGGGGCCCCCGGAGAUGGGAAGGUGCACGGAGGGCAGAGGUGAGGGGGGGUGGUGAGGGCCACGUGCAGAGAGGGCCUUGUCCUGGGGCUCUGCAGCUCACAGGGCACCUGUGGCCCAUAGCCAGG